ensembl:lncRNA
CCUUUACUGCACAAAUGCUUCUCAGCUCAGAAGGUCACAUCUAUUAAUUGUGUCUGUGCUAUAACCCCAGUUAAUUUUUUUUUUCUUUUUUCUUUUUUUCGGAGCUGGGGACCGAACCCAGGGCCUUGCGGUUGCUAGGCAAGCGCUCUACCACUGAGCUAAAUCCCCAACCCCCCCCCCCAGUUAAUUUUUUAAAUUUAUUUUUAGUGUCUCACUAUAUAUACCAGGCUGAUUUGGACUUCCUAUGUAGAGCAGGCAGGCUUCGAACUCACAGAGAUUAGCCUGCUUCUGCCUCGAAGUGCUGGGAUUAAAGGCGUGCGACACCAUGCUCUGCCUUGGGUUUUCGGGGGUAGCAGAGACCUGUCAUCCCCUCAAAUGUGCAAGCGUGGUGAUGUGCCUCUUCCUUCCUGAACUUGAGUGGGCGCUGGAAUCAGGAGCUGUGCCGGUUCGCGCACAAUUCCCAGACUUAACUCCAGAGGGCGCCACUGCCCUGCUUGCACGGAGCCCAACCUAGCGACUUCCCUGCUCCGCAGCCAACUGUGCCUUGACGUCACUCAGCCUUGAUGCCUGUUCCACAAGGUGGGGGAUGGGUUAGGCUUGCAAAAUAUGGCUGAAGGCGCACAGAAAUGCCCUGGAGCAGCACAGCGGUAGGUAAACCACUCUAAGAACCAAAGACCUAAUGUUUCCCCAAAUGCUACUCCUGCAGUCCUGGAGCAAGGCAGAGAGAGGCAGGAGGAUGAAUUCAACGCCAGUCCAGCUACAUGAACUUGUCUCAAGCACAUGUAAGCAAAAUGUAUUCACAUGCCUUUAAUUCUAAAGCCCGGGAGGCAGAGGCAGGUGGAUCUCUGAGUUUGAGGUCAACCUGGUCUACAGAGCAAGUUUCAGGAUAGCUAGAGGUACACAGAGAAACCCUGUCUCCGGAGGGGGAAAAAGUCUUUUUGUUUUUUAAAUUUAUUUAUUUAUUAUAUAUAAGUACACUGUAGCUGUCUUCAGACACACCAGAAGAGGGCAUCAGAUUCCAUUACGGAUGGUUGUGAGCCACCGUGUGGUUGCUGGGAAUUGAACUCAGGACCUCUGGAAGAGCAGUCAGUGCUCUUAACCUCUCAGCCAUCUCUCCAGCCCUAGUUAGUAUUGUUAUAUAUGUACACCUGUGACCAGCUCACACACAUGACUACAGCCUGCUGAGCCUGUUUCUGUUCUUUGUGUGUAGAUGGUUUCAGAGCUGACUGCUCUGCACUGGACAAGCAAUGAGGGUCCCCAGCCCUGGGAGAGGCUCUUCAGCUGUCCUUCGUUGCCUGUAGUUCUGUGUCUAGGGUGAGCCCUGUGCAGUCUUCUUCCUCUCACGUUAACAUGUCCAUUAACAUUGACCUGGUUCCUGUCUUGUUUCGGAAGCCAUUUCUAGGGAGGCUGUUUCACAGCAGACUUCCUGCUAGUCUGGCUCUUAAAUCUCCCUGUUGCCUCUGUGCAGGUGAUCCCCGAGACUCGGAUGCAGGAGCUGUGAUGUGGAUGUACCCCUGGGGCUGGGUUCCCACCAUCUCCUGAUCUCUGCAUUGUUGUCGCGGAGGCUUCUCUGCCAAGGGCUGGGAGCUGCACUUGUCUGCAGGUCUAAGGAUGGCAUGACAGCCAGCGCCAGAUGUGGACCAGACAGCAUUGGGUACUGCUGCCACAGAGAGCUCGGCUGCUGUGAG